rnacentral:rRNA from 1 species
AACGAACGCUGGCGGCAGGCCUAACACAUGCAAGUCGAGCGAGAUCUUCGGGUCUAGCGGCGGACGGGUGAGUAACGCGUGGGAAUAUGCCUCUUGGUACGGAAUAGCCUCGGGAAACUGGGAGUAAUACCGUAUGAGCUCUUCGGGGGAAAGAUUCAUCGCCAAGAGAUGAGCCGGCGUUGGAUUAGGUAGUUGGUGGGGUAAUGGCCUACCAAGCCGACGAUCCAUAGCUGGUUUGAGAGAAUGAUCAGCCACACUGGGACUGAGACACGGCCGAGACUCCUGCGGGAGGCAGCAGUGCGGAAUCUAAGACAAUGGGGGCAACGCUGAUCUAGCCAUGCCGCGUGAGUGAUUAAGGCCUGAGGGUUGUAAAGCUCUUUCAGCUGGGAAGAUAAUGACGGUACCAGCAGAAGAAGCCCCGGCUAACUCCGUG